GACGAACGCUGGCGGCGUGCCUAAUACAUGCAAGUAGAACGCUGAAGGAGGAGCUUGCUUCUCUGGAUGAGUUGCGAACGGGUGAGUAACGCGUAGGUAACCUGCCUGGUAGCGGGGGAUAACUAUUGGAAACGAUAGCUAAUACCGCAUAAGAGUAGAUGUCGCAUGACAUUUGCUUAAAAGGUGCAAUUGCAUCACUACCAGAUGGACCUGCGUUGUAUUAGCUAGUUGGUGAGGUAACGGCUCACCAAGGCAACGAUACAUAGCCGACCUGAGAGGGUGAUCGGCCACACUGGGACUGAGACACGGCCCAGACUCCUACGGGAGGCAGCAGUAGGGAAUCUUCGGCAAUGGACGGAAGUCUGACCGAGCAACGCCGCGUGAGUGAAGAAGGUUUUCGGAUCGUAAAGCUCUGUUGUAAGAGAAGAACGAGUGUGAGAGUGGAAAGUUCACACUGUGACGGUAUCCUACCAGAAAGGGACGGCUAACUACGUG
rnacentral:rRNA from 1 species